AUGCCAAACCACAGUGGGAGUUUAGAGAAGACUGUGAUGAGAGUUGGAGCAUUCUUGGGGAGUCUUUGCUGCAGAGAUGGGACUUUAUGCAUCAGUACAUUCUUAAAGUGUCUACGCUGCCCCGGGAUGCUGAGCCCCUGGACACCACAGGUGGCAUUUCAGCUAUGAGUGAGGGGGGGCAUUUGGAAGGGGAGCCCCGAAGGGGAAGACAAUGGCUCAGAGAGAAUGAAGUCAGCACUUCCCAGCCUCUGUGUGCUGCGGUCCAAGGCUUCGGCCGGGAGCACUGCAGAGCAAAAGUUCUGAGAGCCACGGCUCAGGCUUAACUGGCCAGAGCGAGCUUGGCAGCUGCUCUCGUCCCAGCAGGCUUUGCUCUCUGAGGCAGUCAUUCCCACCACACAAAGGCAGUUCUGUGCCUCCCAAAGGUGCUUGGGGCAGGAAUGAAGAGCGGAACAGCCCCCAUCAAUCCAAUAGGAUUGUCGUUUUACGCUGGCGUGGAGCCUCAGACAUCAAAAGGGCUGGAGAGUGAAGCCACGUGUGAGCCGUGAAGUUGGUGACCCUGAGGCACAGAAAGCUGAGGGAAUUUGUUCGAAGUCACACAGCUGUGGAAAAGCAUUUGGGAGGAAGUGGAACCAAAGCAGAUCCUAUCCAAGGUGAAUGGCAAGCAGCUAUAUGAGGAUGGCCUUGCUCCCAGCCGGGUUAGUUUUCAC
rnacentral:lncRNA from 1 species